GGACAAACAGUUUGAGAGAAGAAAACUUCAAGUUGAAAAUACCAAACUGAAGAAAGUGAGCCGAAAGCAGAGUGGCCAAUGCCAUCGCCAGCUGGCACUGCCCCAGAGAUGAUCGACUCGCUAGAUUCUCUGCAUGGAGAAGUGGGUGUCAGAAAAGCUGCUCCAAGAAUAGUUGCCGCCAGGCUGGUGAACGGCGUUCCCACGGCCCAGAUGCAAAGUCAGAUGAUGGCCUUAGACUCUUUUCUUGAUGAGGCUGAUGAGGAGAUAAAUCCUCAAAAGACCUUAAGCAAAUCAACCUCACCUGCAUGCUAGGAAUGAGGCAGCGUGUGGCCCCAUGCAAGGAAAGGGGCUCCUUAGAAGUUGGAAGAGCAGAGGGUUGGCAGGGCUCAAACCAUGACCAGGAGCAGACUGGAAAGGAAGAGAUAGAUACUUCAGAAGGGAAGUGUUUUGGAGAGAAAAAUCAAUGAUGAUUUAAAAAAAUAAAAAAAGAACCUUAUUUUGCACAGAUAAAAGAAGAAGAAACUCCCUGUAGAGAAUCAGGCCUGCUUGGAAAAAUUUAUACCAAAAGUUUUGUAAAAAAUCCCAGCUUCAGAACAUCAUACCCACUUUGUACUUGUUAA